rnacentral:rRNA from 1 species
AGUGAACGCUGGCGGUAGGCCUAACACAUGCAAGUCGAACGGCAGCACAGGAGAGCUUGCUCUCUGGGUGGCGAGUGGCGGACGGAUGAGGCAUACAUCGGAAUCUACUUUUUCGUGGGGGAUAACGUAGGGAAACUUACGCUAAUACCGCAUACGACCUACGGGUGAAAGCAGGGGAUCUUCGGACCUUGCGCGAUUGAAUGAGCCGAUGUAGGAUUAGGUGGUUGGCGGGGUAAAGGCCCACCAGGGCGACGAUCCGUAGCGGGUCUGAGAGGAUAAUCAGCCGCAAUGGAACUGAGGCACGGUCCAGACUCCUACGGGAGGAAGCAGUGGGGAAUAUUGGACAAUGGGCGCAAUCCUGAUCCAGCCAUACCGCGUGGGUGAAGAAGGCCUUCGGGUUGUAAAGCCCUUUUGUUGGGAAAGAAAUCCAGCUGGUUAAUACCCGGUUGGGAUGACGGUACCCAAAGAAUAAGCACCGGCUAACUUCGAGCCAGCAGCCGCGGUAA